UUACAACAGGCUACCUAAAAGCACUAGCGAAGUCAGUACAAACUACAAUUUCAUACAAUGACUUGUUUAUACCGCUCUAUAUGCUGACAUGAACUGCUUACUAGUGGAACUCCAUUGACUUAAAGGGAGUUACUUCUGUUUUAUACCAGUGUUUCUGAAAGGGGAGGAAUGUUCCCCCUGGCCCUCACAUAUACGUGGCUGCACACUCGAUUGAAACAUAGUUAAAGAGGAUACUAAAGCUUGGAACACUGUUUGUGGGUUCUGGGAGUAUGGAGGAAAAGAACUACUCUUGUGUAUCCAGUCAGUCAUGGUGUCUCUCAAGCAAAACUUUCU